UCCGAGUAGACGCCAGAUAUAGCGUCUGAGUAGGAAGACAACGCCAAACAACGGUGGCAAAGUGCCAUUUUCUCGAGAUAUUUCAAACCGGUUAAUCAAAAUUUCAGCAUCUAAUAGAAAACUGCUGGUGGCAUCGAUCGGUUGUGGACGUCCCGUGAUCAGCUUUUUUUUCAGGCUCUGUCAUUGACCCUCGUUUCCAAGGGGAGAAUCAUAACGAGUAGGUGUGUACGUUUAUCUGUACGACCUUGAAGUAAUCCGGCACUGAGUGAGAGAACGACUGAAAGGUUGCAGAUACCCACAACAAGUGAUACUCACAAAUAUGGGUGGAAAUCAGUCCAACUUGCCUCCCCGACCAAUGGGCUUUGAAUACAUAUGUAUUGCUGUUCGUGAAACAGACAAAUUGCGCAUUGUCCUUGGCACAGAUCGAGAAAUAAGCAUUAUCCGCCAGGUAAUUGAGGAAUCAUGGCCCAAAGGGAUUCAACAAGAGACAUUCAAAAUGAAUGGUGUGCAUGAAUUCAAGUUGAAAGGAAAUCCAUUCUGUGCUGCCACUUCAUCAAGUGAUGCAAUCAUUUCAAGGAAAAUGGCUGGAAAUGUUCUGCACAGGCUUUACCGUGAUGGAUGGAAGCUUCAAAUGUCAAGCGACCUAACACAGACAACAGAUCUCACAACAUGGAUUUUCAAGCAAGAUACCACUUCCAUCUGUCCAUCUUUGCCAUUUCUCAUUGUGGGUCUCAGCAGUUAUGAUAGUUUGAUGGUACUCAAUGGUCCAAUGGACCUCCAUCAAACGUUCAAGGAUGUCAUAGAGAAGUCCUGGCCCCAAGGAAUACAGCGAUGGACGUAUGAGAAUGAUGUUUUAAUGAUCAAAUUGAAGGGAAAUCCCUGGUAUGCGAAUGGUGAGGAUACAGUACAUGCCAGAGUGAUUUUACACACUCUUAUUGGUGCUCUGCAGGUCAAACAGUGGAAGCUCUAUGGAAAUUCCAACCUUAGGAGUAGUGCUAACACUCUAUUUUUUGAGCAUGAUCCUAAUAUUGUGCCUGGCAUGCAGUUUUCUCCCAUCCCUGGAAUGCAGUUUUCUCAGUCACACUUCACAAUCAGUUUCAACAGUCAUGACUUGUUGAGACUGAUUGGUGCACCAGAGGGGCUGGUGUCUGCUGUUCGCAACACUCUUCAGACCUUCUGGUCAAGAGGCAUUCAAGAAGAAAGAUCCUAUGCCGGCAGCUGGCAGUUCAAGCUACGAGGCACUCCUUGGUGGGCAUCAGGUGAUGAAGCUGUGGACUCAAGGUUUCUGGUUUUGAAGGUGCUCGAAGCUUUGCAAGCCUAUGGAUGGAGUGUGGCGGCCAGUGUUGAUUGCUCAAGGAAAGAUUCUGACAAGAGUAGUGUGAUCUUUAAAACAUCUCAGCCAACUCAGUCUCAUUUCUUCUGCAUCAGUUUGCAUGAGACUGACAAGUUGCGGCUUAUAAAUGCACCUGAGGAUGUUGCAAAGAUUUGUCAGGAUGUGAUCCAAUCCCAGUAUCUUCUUGGCAUUCAAAGGGUGCAGCUUUAUGGUAAAAGCCUUGAGUUCAAAUUUGUGGGUAACCCUUGGAGUUGUGGAAUAGAUGGUCAUGAUGGUAUCCAUGGCAGAAAUAUGUUACUGCACAUAUUUCGUGCUCUAGCAGGCCGCUUUUGGCGUCCAGUCAUGUCAGCAGAUGUGUCAGCCAAAUAUAUCCACCAGGAAAAUGGUCCUGAUUAUCCAUUAGAUGUGGAUUCUAUAUUCUUUACCUAUGAUCCUUCUGCUGCAUCACCAUCUGCACCCCCCUAUAUGCAGCCACCACCUUAUGGCUUUCUCCCACCCAAUGAGGCUCCACCACCCUUUGCUCCACCUGCCUAUGGUGCAUAUCCAAAUCAGUGAUAAAGUGGUAUGACAUCUAGUCUUGCAUAUGAAAUGAUUACCAUAAAUGGUGCUCUGAAAGAAGCCUAUGACUGUAUAGUGUCUUAUAAUUCCCAAAGGAUUCUGAGUUACAUGAAUGAAACCAGUCCUUAUUAUGUCAAUUACAAUCAACUACUAAUACUGUUUUGUCACCUUAUUUAAACCCCCUGGUGGGGGGACUUGUCAUGGAAAAAAGGUUUGUUAAGGAGGGGGGGGGAGUUAGUAGCUUUGAGGGUUGGCAGAUUUGGUCUUUAAAAACUCACAGAUUGUGCAAUUUUGCACAAAAGUAAGCAGAUUUAUAGUUUUGGAAAUUGCUCUGGAUUGCGAAUAAGUGGGGUGAUUUAGUGGAGUUCUCCAAGACUUUGUCUUACCUAGAGACCCUGACGAGCUAACAAUUCAGUUUCGAACACCUAAAAAGACAGGAAACUUCAUGUAAAAUCAAGUAAUAUCCUAUGGAAGAAAAGCAAAGUAUAUGUAGAUACAUUAUGUAGUGAAAUGAAAGCAAGCUAGUCACAAAGACAGUUUUCAGUAACGCUGAUUCAGAUCUCAACGAAAAGAAUGUUAUUUUCACGGAUCUAGCUAGAAAUUAGUUUUUACCUGUCGGCAGAUGUUUAAGCUUUUAUUCUCCUCCCUCUUAAAGAAUAUUAUAACUUGAUCAUAACGUCACAACUCUUUCUCUCUCAUACUACGACAAUUUACGUCAUAAUUGACAAAUGAGUAAAAAUGGGAAAUUAUUCCCCAGUUUAAACUUGCGAUAUUUAAUAAUCCAUGCGUGAUUAAUUGUGACAAAAAGGGUUUACAGGUACGGUAACCCGCUCAAUCUUUCGAAAUUAAUAAAUUACUGGUGUAUUUAAACUAAUGGAAAAGGGUGUUACAAAAAUAAAGAAACAAACAAUUUGAAUUAAAUGGUACUGGGCAAUUCAGAAUUAUCCACAACUUUUUUCUGUUAUGAAAAUACUUAAUCAGUUGCCAUCGUCUUUGGAAAAAAUUGCCUUCUAGAGGAACGUAACACAUCUUUCAUCAAUAACUAUUCAUGUUACUAUUUGUUAAUAUGUGGCAUGUCAAAACAUUAUUUUUUUUAUCUAUAUUCUCUAGUAAUCGACUAUUUUGAUGUAACUAUGCGAAAGGGCAUUCUUGACUUCAUCAUGAAUAGAUAUCGUUUUGGUAGAAGAAAAGAAAAAGAAAACGAUGUAAAGAUGCUUGCGCUAUCAAUGCAUGACAGAAUAUAAGCUUUUUAGGCUAAUCAAUAUGCUACUGUCUGCGGCUCACCAACACAGUUCAGUGAAUGCUGCAGCCCAUCGGAGAAACGGGGAAUUCCGUGAUGUUCGUCGAUCGAGUCUUGAGCUCCACACAACUUCACCCGGAGCCAGGUUACGACGCAACUAUCCCGUGCGUCUGUGAGCUAUUUCCUAGGGGGUCCUCCUGUCUUGAAAAACAUCAGCUUUAGUGCCACUCCCGGUGAGAAAAUAGAUGUUGGACGGACUGGUACUAGAAAGUCGUCAGUUACCGCCUGUUUGUUGCGCAUGCCAGCAAACACCGACACCAUCAUUAUCGAAGGAAUUUGUAUGACUGAUCUCAAAGUCUAGGAUGUUUGCACUGUGAUGGCAGUCAUUAGUCAGAGUUCUUUCCUAUUUAAUGAAGUGCUUCGUCGAAGUCUUGAUCCAGCUGACAAAUUUAUUGUUGAAGAAUUGCGGAAUAUUUUGGACAAAGUUAAGCUGAAGUCGACUGUGGUAAUAGAGAUGGUCAACUUUACUGUCACGUGACAGAAAAUGGUGCUAAUUUCAGUGUCGGAGAGCGGCAGUUGAUCCGCUUCGCUCGCGCUCUUUUGUUUGGAUCAAGCAACAUCCAGUGUGGAUACACAAAGGGAUGAACUUAUACAAAGUAUAAUUCGUAAAGAGAUGAAUCAUUGUACUGUUUUGACGUCUGAGUACUGUAUCUGAUUACGACCGAAUCAUGGUGCUUGGCGAAGGGAAAAUUGUCGGAACGGAUUCUCCCAAGACUUUACUUAAAAAUAAGCUCACUUUUUUCUACUAGCUAUAUCACAAUGUGAACUUUGAAUUAUGAUUAUGCCAGAUAGUCCUGUGAAAGAUUGGUCUAAGACAUUAGACCAAUCUUUUACAUGACUAUCUGGCAUAUCUGCUCAUUAGGCCCUAUGGUGUCGAUUCAGAUUUUCGCUCAUACCAAAGGUCAGAAAGCGUACAAAUAUGCAGUUAUCAGAAGUUUACUCUUAAAUCGACUGUUUUACUCUACCUCGCUGAAAAUUUGUAUUGCUGAAUUUCAACAUAUCUUUUUGCGGUAGAAAUGAGGAUCGGUGAAACGCUGUCUCAGUGAAUUUGUCCACGCACGCAAUGAACGUGAUGAGCAGCUGAAAAUUACAUGUAAUAUCGUUAUCAAAGUAACACUAGCAAUAAGAUAUAUGUAUUGUCCUUACAUAGUUUUCUGUUAUUUCUUGUAUGACAAUGUGGCAGUCUUGCUAGUCACAUCAGCAUAGCAAGCAAAUAGCAGUUUAAGUAAUGUUGAAAAAUACUAAGAAAGUGAAUGCGCAUAUAAGUCAUUUUUCAGAUGGACUUGUUUUCAGAUAUAAAGAUAGAUGGACACGAUUCGACUGAAAACAAAUGAAUGCAGAUAUCUCACUACGAAUUACAAAAAAAACAACAAAAUCAAUCGACAAAAAAUAUUCUGAAUGAAAAAGAAACUGGCGAACUUACAAUUUGUGGCGUAGGCAGGUCUUGCAGUAAAAGUUUUAAAUAAAAGUAACACGGCGCUAACAGAAACUAACAAAACAAAACGACUGACUCAGUUGAAAUCAAACAACGAUAUAUUGAUGAUAUAUUGAUGUGAGUGGUCAAAGAAGUAAUCAGUUUAAUAAACCACUCCAGUCGUAACAAACUUGUUGAAAAUUGGCGAAUAUUUACAGACAAAAAUUCACAACUAAAGAUUCGAGUUGUUACUCACUAAAAAAAGACGGGUCUAUAACUGGUCUAGCCGGUCAAUUCUGUGUCAAGGUAGGCUUCUUAUUAAAUAAAACGUGUGCUGCAUUUUACCAUGUUCUUACAUAGGAAGUGCAAAUUACACACUCUAGCACUCUUAAAAUGAAAUGGUUGUUUUCAUGACAAGUCCAGCGAGUCAGUGAGUUUGAGACACCUGUGCUGUUUUCAAAUCGAUAGAACUGUCUUUAGUCCACU